UAGAGCGAAGAUGAUGGGAUCAGUAAACGGAUCACUGCCGCAUAAGAGAGGGAGCUCCAGGCUGAAAAGCUCCUGCGGAUACAAACGUUGAACCUGCCCUGUGAUACAUUGCUUAUGAAAACAUAAGCCGGUUUUCUCCGUUAUGGAUCUUAAGUGGGCGCAUUUUCGCGUCAAAAAAGGUGGUACCACGGAAAGCAUACCCGUCCUUUAU
rnacentral:ncRNA from 1 species